rnacentral:rRNA from 1 species
GAUGAACGCUAGCGGCAGGCUUAAUACAUGCAAGUCGUGGGGCAGCGCAGUGUAGCAAUACAUGGGCGGCGACCGGCAAACGGGUGCGGAACACGUACACAACCUUCCUUCAAAUGGGGAAUAGCCCAGGGAAACUUGGAUUAAUACCCCGUAACAUUAUGAAGUGGCAUCACUUUAUAAUUAUAGCUCCGGCGUUUGGAGAUGGGUGUGCGGCUGAUUAGGUAGUUGGCGGGGAACGGCCCACCAAGCCUUCGAUCAGUAACUGGUGUGAGAGCACGACCAGUCACACGGGCACUGAGACACGGGCCCGACUCCUACGGGAGGCAGCAGUAAGGAAUAUUGGGCAAUGGACGCAAGUCUGACCCAGCCAUGCCG